rnacentral:misc_RNA from 1 species
GAUGAAGAACGUAGCGAAAUGCGAUAAGUAAUGUGAAUUGCAGAAUUCAGUGAAUCAUCGAAUCUUUGAACGCACAUUGCGCCCGCCAGCACUCUGUCGGGCAUGCCUGUUCGAACGUCAUUUCAACCAUCAAGCCCCCAGGGGCUUGUGCUGGGGCCCUGCGGCUGCCCGCAGGCCCUGAAAACCAGUGGCGGGCUCGCUAGUCACACCGAGCGCAGUAGCACAUCUCGCUCAGGGCGUGCGGCGGGCUCCUGCCGUGAAACCCCCCACUGUAACCCCAAAGGUUGACCUCGGAUCAGGUAGGAAUACCCGCUGAACUUAAGCAUAUCAAUAAGCGGAGGA